rnacentral:rRNA from 1 species
AUUGAACGCUGGCGGCAUGCCUAACACAUGCAAGUCGAACGGAAACGAUGGGAGCUUGCUCCCAGGCGUCGAGUGGCGGACGGGUGAGUAAUGCUUAGGAAUCUACCCAGUAGCGGGGGAUAGCCCGGGGAAACCCGGAUUAAUACCGCAUACGCCCUACGGGGGUAAGCAGGGGAUCUUCGGACCUUGCACUAUUGGAUGAGCCUAAGUCGGAUUAGCUUGUUGGUGAGGUAAAGGCUCACCAAGGCGACGAUCCGUAGCUGGUCUGAGAGGACGAUCAGCCACACUGGGACUGAGACACGGCCCAGACUCCUACGGGAGGCAGCAGUGGGGAAUAUUGGACAAUGGGGGCAACCCUGAUCCAGCAAUGCCGCGUGUGUGAAGAAGGCCUGCGGGUUGUAAAGCACUUUCAGUAGAGAAGAAAAGCCUGGGGAUAAUACCUCCGAGUCUUGACGUUACCUACAGAAGAAGCUCCGGCUAACUCCGUGCCAGCAGCCGCGGUAAUACGGAGGGAGCGAGCGUUAAUCGGAAUUACUGGGCGGAAAGCGCACGUAGGUGGCUUUGUAAUGUCGGAUGUGAAAGCCCUGGGCUUAACCUGGGAAUGGCAUUCGAUACUGCAUCGC